rnacentral:rRNA from 1 species
GAUGAACGCUGACAGAAUGCUUAACACAUGCAAGUCGAUGGGGAAGUGGUGCUUGCACCAUGGCAACCAUGGCGGACGGGUGAGUAACGCGUAAGGGACUUACCUGCAGGACUGGGAUAACAGGGGGAAACUCCUGACAAGACCGGAUAAUGUCAUGGAGCUGCAUGGCUUUAUGAUGAAAGGAGACGCCUGCGGAGAGCCUUGCGUCCUAUUAGCUAGUUGGUGAGGUAAUGGCUCACCAAGGCGAAGAUAGGUAGCCGGCCUGAGAGGGUGGACGGCCACAAGGGGACUGAGAUACGGCCCUUACUCCUACGGGAGGCAGCAGUGGGGAAUAUUGGACAAUGGGGCAACCCUGAUCCAGCAAUUCUGUGUGCACGAAGAAGGUUUUCGGAGUGUAAAGUGCUUUCAGCAGGGAAGAAGUAAGUGACGGUACCUGCAGAAGAAGCGACGGCUAAAUACGUG